rnacentral:rRNA from 1 species
UACGAAGGGGCUAGCGUUGUUCGGAAUUACUGGGCGUAAAGGGCGCGUAGGCGGCUUAACAAGUCACUUGUGAAAUCUCCGGGCUUAACUCGGAACGGCCAAGUGAAACUGUCAAGCUAGAGUGCAGAAGGGGCAAUCGGAAUUCUUGGUGCAGCGGUGAAAUGCGUAGAUAUCAAGAGGAACACCUGAGGUGAAGACGGGUUGCUGGGCUGACACUGACGCUGAGGCGCGAAAGCCAGGGGAGCAAACGGG